GGUGGCUUAGUGGUAGAGCACUUGCCUUGCAUGUAUGAGGCCAUGGGUUCGAUUCCUCAGCACCA
rnacentral:tRNA from 1 species